CCCGCUGAACUUAAGCAUAUCAAUAAGCGGAGGAAAAGAAACUAACAAGGAUUCCCCUAGUAACUGCGAGUGAAGCGGGAAGAGCUCAAAUUUGAAAUCUGGCGGGUACCCCGUCCGAGUUGUAAUCUGGAGAAGCGUUUUCCGCGCUGGACCGUGUACAAGUCCCUUGGAACAGGGCGUCAUAGAGGGUGAGAAUCCCGUCUACGACACGGACCGCCAGUGCUGUGCGAUGCGCUCUCGAAGAGUCGAGUUGUUUGGGAAUGCAGCUCAAAACGGGUGGUAAAUUCCAUCUAAAGCUAAAUAUUGGCGAGAGACCGAUAGCGAACAAGUACCGUGAGGGAAGGAUGAAAAGCACUUUGGAAAGAGAGUGAAACAGUACGUGAAAUUGUUGAAAGGGAAACGCUUGAAGUCAGUCGCGCCCGCCGGGACUCAGCCUUGCUUCUGCUUGGUGCACUUCCCGGCUGGGCGGGCCAGCAUCGUUUUCCGCGCCGGACAAACCCGUGAGGAAUGUGGCAGCUCCGGCUGUGUUAUAGCCUCGCGCGGCACAACGGCGCAGGGGAACGAGGAAUCCGGGCGCAAGCCCUGGGAUGCUGGCGUAAUGGCUUUAAGCGACCCGUCUUGAAACACGG
rnacentral:rRNA from 1 species